rnacentral:lncRNA from 1 species
UUUUUUUCAUUCAAAGUAUUUGUGUAGAGGUAGAGAUAGAGAGAGAGAGAGAGAGAGAGAGAGAGAGAGAGAGAGAGAGAGAAAGAAAGGGUUGAGUUAGUGGGAGCUGGGCUAUGCUUUUGCUUGCUUGCUUGCAGUCUGCGUAUUCUUCACGAGAGUCCCUUUCUGCCCAUGGCAAGUUGGCACCCCAAAAUCGUACGAUCCCUUUCUCCACUGACAACGUCGUCGUCGUUCCUAUAGCCAUACUUUCCUUUUUCAGCUCCUUUCUCUCUGCUGAAUCAGUGAGAC